rnacentral:lncRNA from 1 species
UGGUGGCACGGCCGAGUGUGGACUGUCCUGGACCACAAAAUUGUUGAUAUUUAGAGGAAGCCCACCAAGCCCAGGCUGUUGACAGAGGAAAUCCACCAAUCUCGGCUAUUUAGACGCAGAAAAGUAGCAACACACCACAAAUGAUUCCAAUUGCAAGGUUGAUUUGGUUUGGUUUGAUUGCAGGUUGAGGCUUAAUUUUCUUCUCAAGGGAACAGAAAAUGCUAGGAAAAUUAACAUUGCUAACAGGGAAAAUUCUUUGAUGCAUCCUUUAUGCCUACAAAUGGGAUCCAUAAGAACUGAUUUAUAAACUAGGAUCAUC